rnacentral:lncRNA from 1 species
UAAAAAAGUUAAGUUACCUUCCCAGCCCAUUUAAACCAUUUCGCAGCCCAAUCCAGAGCCGGUCUUGAUACGGGUCGUGUUAUAUCGUCGUCUCGAUCUCGUUUCUCUUAAAAAAAUCACUCAUCCUCCCUAACCCUAUUCGCCGUAUCGAUCUCUUCCUCUCCCCCCAACUCCUCCCGCAUAACGCCUCCGAUGAGAGUGCUGGUACUUCAAUGUUCUCCCAUAAAUCCUCCAUUCAAGAUCCCCACGGACCCUCCACAUCCCCCCUCCGGCUC